rnacentral:rRNA from 1 species
UGGGGAAUAUUGCACAAUGGGGGAAACCCUGAUGCAGCAACGCCGCGUGAGUGAUGAAGGCCUUCGGGUUGUAAAGCUCUGUCUUCAGGGACGAUAAUGACGGUACCUGAGGAGGAAGCCACGGCUAACUACGUGCCAGCAGCCGCGGUAAUACGUAGGUGGCAAGCGUUGUCCGGAUUUACUGGGCGUAAAGGGAGCGUAGGCGGAUACUUAAGUGGGAUGUGAAAUACCCGGGCUCAACUCGGGUGCUGCAUUCCAAACUGGGUGUCUAGAGUGCAGGAGAGGAAAGUGGAAUUCCUAGUGUAGCGGUGAAAUGCGUAGAGAUUAGGAAGAACACCAGUGGCGAAGGCGACUUUCUGGACUGUAACUGACGCUGAGGCUCGAAAGCGUGGGGAGCAAACA